rnacentral:rRNA from 2 species
CUUGGUCAUUUAGAGGAAGUAAAAGUCGUAACAAGGUCUCCGUAGGUGAACCUGCGGAGGGAUCAUUACCGAGUUCAUGCCCACACGGGUAGAUCUCCCACCCUAUGUUAUCAUUACCUUUGUUGCUUUGGCGGGCCGCCAGGCUUCGGUCAGGCUACCGGCUCCGGCUGGUACGCGCCCGCCAGAGGACCCCAAACUCUGAAUGUUAGUGUCGUCUGAGUACUAUCUAAUAGUUAAAACUUUCAACAACGGAUCUCUUGGUUCUGGCAUCGAUGAAGAACGCAGCGAAAUGCGAUAAGUAAUGUGAAUUGCAGAAUUCAGUGAAUCAUCGAAUCUUUGAACGCACAUUGCGCCCCUUGGCAUUCCGAGGGGCAUGCCUGUUCGAGCGUCAUUACAACCCUCAAGCACUGCUUGGCAUUGGGCUCCGCUGCUAACCCAGCGGGCCUUAAAAUCAGUGGCGGCGCCCUCAGGCUCUGAGCGUAGUAAAUCUCCUCGCUAUAGAGUCCUGGUGGUGGUAGUCAUCAACCCCCAACUUUUCUAAGUUUGACCUCGGAUCAGGUAGGGAUACCCGCUGAACUUAAGCAUAUCAAUAAGCGGAGGA